UUUAUAUGUCAGACUCAAAGUAGUAGAAAUUAAAAAUCAAUAAAACUUCAAUAAAAAAAUAAAUAAUAACAAUAAUAUAAUAGCAAUUAUUUAAGCUUUUUCAUUUUGAUAUUUGAUAGAAAAUCUAAAUUUUCCCAAGAAGUCAUUUUAAAAAUUGAAUUCCUAAAUAUAACCUGAAUAUAAUCCUAACUAAAUAACACACAAAUACACUAAAUAGAGUCAAAUCCUUGUGUAAUUUCUAAUAAAUCCCCAUGAUUUGACCAAACACACAUAAACUGCUCAAGCACAAAGGCUUACUGUACAUAACUUUCACAGUACAGUCUCACUUUUAGUAGUUUCUUUCACAGUGUUUAGUAUUAUGGGAUGCAUGUUUCAGAUGCUGCUGUAAUGCACAGACUUCUGACUGGCAGCCUUCACCUCCUAAAUAAAUCUCACUUCAUCCCAGGGACUUAUCAGUGUCCUGUAACGGCACGGCUUCGUUCUGCUGCACCUGUGCAUGGCUGUCAUGAGCGAGUGUGUGUGUGUGUGUGUGUGUGUGUGACCUACACGUUUUACAGCGCUCUCACACCACCGUCCUCUCCGUCUGCUCCUCCUCGGGACUCCUUCUCACCUCAAUGCAGGUGAGCGAUGGACGAAAGCACCUUUGAGACAUUUGAGGAAGAGCUUGGUAAACCACUGCAAGAGGUUCCUCCUCAGAAACCAGUCAAGCAAACGCGAACAGGAGGCAGAGCAGAGAUGUCCGCUCAGAGAAGGGUGCGAGAGGAAGCUCCAAUCGUCCAGCAGGCCCCAAAGAUGAUCCCACAGGAACAUCGGGUCUCCAGCGCCACAGCGUCGUUACGCAGAGCGCUCUCGAUCCAGAACCUGACGCAGAUCGAGACGCCGUGGGAAGGUGUGACGCUGAACAGGUGUCUGAUCGCAGCCAUAACCAUUCUGCUGCUGAGCUCGGGUUUACAGAGAAUACACGAAGCCGUCAGAGGCCGCAGAGACGCCAGUGAAGAGCUCACAGCACUAAAAGAGAGACAUACUAUGAUUAAAAGAGGGAAAAUAACACCACAGGAGCCGGACACUUCCUUAUGGGAGACAUUUUUCUGGUGGAUUGAUGAUGAUGACGAAGGCAAAUCUAAGAGAGCCACUCGUGGGAUAGUUUCCAGGGGCCUCCGGCACCGGGCCCUUCCCGACCUCAGGCUCCUGAAGAAAAGAGAGACAAGAUUCACCGAGCGCAGAAGAAGAGGAAGACACGAAGUAGAUGAGACUAAAGAGAAACUGACAAAAGAGAAAGAGAUAAAAGUCAAGAGGAAGGUCAAGGAAGUGGAAGAAGAGGAGAAGGACAGAAAGAGGAUGAAGAAAGAGAGCAAGCAAAAACCGGUGAAGAGAGAGAAUCAGUGA
ensembl:lncRNA